rnacentral:rRNA from 1 species
AUUGAACGCUGGCGGCAUGCUUUACACAUGCAAGUCGAACGGUAACAGGCCUUCGGGCGCUGACGAGUGGCGAACGGGUGAGUAAUGCAUCGGAACGUGCCCAGUCGUGGGGGAUAACGCAGCGAAAGCUGUGCUAACACCGCAUACGAUCUGCGGAUGAAAGCGGGGGACCUUCGGGCCUCGCGCGAUUGGAGCGGCCGAUGUCAGAUUAGGUAGUUGGUGGGGUAAAGGCUCACCAAGCCAACGAUCUGUAGCUGGUCUGAGAGGACGACCCGCCACACUGGGACUGAGACACGGCCCAGACUCCUACGGGAGGCAGCAGUGGGGAAUUUUGGACAAUGGGCGCAAGCCUGAUCCAGCAAUGCCGCGUGCAGGAAGAAGGCCUUCGGGUUGUAAACUGCUUUUGUACGGAGCGAAAAGGCUCCCUCUAAUACAGGGGGCUCAUGACGGUACCGUAAGAAUAAGCACCGGCUAACUACGUGCCAGCCGCCGCCGUAAUAC